rnacentral:rRNA from 1 species
AUUGAACGCUGGCGGCAUGCCUUACACAUGCAAGUCGAACGGUAACAGGUUAAGCUGACGAGUGGCGAACGGGUGAGUAAUACAUCGGAACGUGCCCAGUAGCGGGGGAUAGCGCGGCGAAAGCCGUAUUAAUACCGCAUACGACCUAAGGGAGAAAGGGGGGGAUCGCAAGUCCUCUCGCUAUUGGAGCGGCCGAUGUCAGAUUAGCUAGUUGGUGGGGUAAAGGCUCACCAAGGCGACGAUCUGUAGCUGGUCUGAGAGGACGACCAGCCACACUGGGACUGAGACACGGCCCAGACUCCUACGGGAGGCAGCAGUGGGGAAUUUUGGACAAUGGGCGCAAGCCUGAUCCAGCCAUGCCGCGUGCGGGAAGAAGGCCUUCGGGUUGUAAACCGCUUUUGUCAGGGAAGAAAUCCUUUGGGUUAAUACCUCGGGGGGAUGACGGUACCUGAAGAAUAAGCACCGGCUAACUACGUG